GCCACUUUAAACCAGUAUUGCUAAAGGGCUGAGCAGGUGUUUUUAACUAGAGAGUUGAUGAGGGACUAGUUAGUUCAGAGUGGAGUUUGAAGAGGAUAGGGAGCUGUUGAGUUAUAUGAAAGCAAAUAUUUUGGGCAAAGAAAAAAAAAAGUUUCAUGGGUGAAGAUUUGGAAUAUUUCAUUUGCUUAAGGCUCUGUGUUUUGGAAAUCUUGAGAAGUGUGACUGAAGUCAGAAGGAGUGGUUUCUUCUGAACAGGUUUCAAGAGUAGAAACCUCCCAAGGCAAGAUGCUUGUACCAUUAGAAGAAGCGCAUGCUCCUUAAACCUGUAUAGCAUCUCCACAGCUGCACAACAGUGGUGAAAAGAGUAACUUCUACUGUUACCAAGGAUCAAUGUGUCAUUUUGAUAUCAUAUGAAAAAGCCUCUGGAAGUUCCAAAAUGUCAGGUAUCCAAGAAGAGAGGAAUUUCACCAUAUCCGUUCCUUCUAUGUUGUCAGGCACUGUAUAGUACUGUUGAAGGGGUCAUGCAAUUUGGAGAAAAGAGGAAACAAAAAGUG